GACGAACGCUGGCGGCGUGCUUAACACAUGCAAGUCGAGCGGAAAGGCCCUUCGGGGUACUCGAGCGGCGAACGGGUGAGUAACACGUGAGCAACCUGCCCUAGGCUUUGGGAUAACCCUCGGAAACGGGGGCUAAUACCGGAUAGGACCUCCUGCCGCAUGGUGGGAGGUGGAAAGUUUUUUCGGUCUGGGAUGGACUCGCGGCCUAUCAGCUUGUUGGUGAGGUAACGGCUCACCAAGGCGACGACGGGUAGCCGGCCUGAGAGGGCGACCGGCCACACUGGGACUGAGACACGGCCCAGACUCCUACGGGAGGCAGCAGUGGGGAAUAUUGCACAAUGGGCGAAAGCCUGAUGCAGCGACGCCGCGUGGGGGAUGACGGCCUUCGGGUUGUAAACCCCUUUCAGCAGGGAAGAAGCGCAAGUGACGGUACCUGCAGAAGAAGCACCGGUUAACUACGUGCCAGCCGCCGCCGUAACAC
rnacentral:rRNA from 1 species